rnacentral:rRNA from 1 species
AUUGAACGCUGGCGGCAGGCCUAACACAUGCAAGUCGAACGCGUGGCGGAGGGGUGAGUAAUGUCUUGGAAACUGCCCGAUGUGGGGGGAUAACUACUGGAAACGCUAGCUAAUACCGCAUACCCUCGGAUGUGCCCAGAUGGGAUUUGAUUGUAGGUGAGGUAACGGCUCACCUAGGCGACGAUCCCUAGAUGGUCUGAGAGGAUGACCAGCCACACUGGAACUGAGACACGGUCCAGACUCCUACGGUAGGCAGCAGUGGGGAAUAUUGCACAAUGGGCGCAAGCCUGAUGCAGCCAUGCCGCGUGUAUGAAGAAGGCCUUCGGGUUGUAAAGUACUUUCAGCGGGGAGGCGUUACCCGCAGAAGAAGCACCGGCUAACUCCGUGCCAGCCGCCGCGGUAAUAC